GAAAUGCGAUACGUAAUGUGAAUUGCAGAUUUCAGUGAAUCAUCGAAUCUUUGAACGCACAUUGCGCCCGCUAGUAUUCUGGCGGGCAUGCCUGUUCGAGCGUCAUUUCAACCAUCAAGCGCCCGCGCUUGUGUUGGAGCCCUGCGGCUGCCGCAGGCUCCCAAACCCAGUGGCGGGCUCGUCGUCGUACCGAGUGCAGUAAACAUCCUCGCUCAGGGAACGCGUCGGGUACCGGCCGUAAAACACCCAACUAUAUCAAGGUUGACCUCGGAUCAGGUAGGAAUACCCGCUGAACUUAA
rnacentral:misc_RNA from 1 species